GAUGAACGCUGGCGGCGUGCCUAAUACAUGCAAGUCGAGCGUACAGACGAGGAGCUUGCUCCUCUGACGUUAGCGGCGGACGGGUGAGUAACACGUGGAUAACCUACCUAUAAGACUGGGAUAACUUCGGGAAACCGGAGCUAAUACCGGAUAAUAUAUUGAACCGCAUGGUUCAAUAGUGAAAGACGGUUUUGCUGUCACUUAUAGAUGGAUCCGCGCCGCAUUAGCUAGUUGUUAAGGUAACGGCUUACCAAGGCAACGAUGCGUAGCCGACCUGAGAGGGUGAUCGGCCACACUGGAACUGAGACACGGUCCAGACUCCUACGGGAGGCAGCAGUAGGGAAUCUUCCGCAAUGGGCGAAAGCCUGACGGAGCAACGCCGCGUGAGUGAUGAAGGUCUUCGGAUCGUAAAACUCUGUUAUUAGGGAAGAACAAAUGUGUAAGUAACUAUGCACGUCCUGACGGUACCUAAUCAGAAAGCCACGGCUAACUACGUG
rnacentral:rRNA from 1 species